rnacentral:rRNA from 1 species
UACGUAGGGUGCAAGCGUUAAUCGGAAUUACUGGGCGUAAAGCGUGCGCAGGCGGUGAUGUAAGACAGAUGUGAAAUCCCCGGGCUCAACCUGGGAACUGCAUUUGUGACUGCAUCGCUGGAGUGCGGCAGAGGGGGAUGGAAUUCCGCGUGUAGCAGUGAAAUGCGUAGAUAUGCAGAGGAACACCGAUGGCGAAGGCAAUCCCCUGGGCCUGCACUGACGCUCAUGCACGAAAGCGUGGGGAGCAAACAGG